UACUCCCGCCGGCGACCGGCGCACGGGUGAGUAACACGUAUGAAACCUGCCCGUAGCAGGGGGAUAAGCGGAAGAAAUUCCGUCUAAUACCGCGUAACAACCCGAGGAAGCAUCUCCUCGGGUUUAAAGGAAGCGAUUCCGGCUACGGAUGGUCAUGCGUCGCAUUAGCUAGUUGGCGGGGUAACGGCCCACCAAGGCGACGAUGCGUAGGGGUUCUGAGAGGAAGGCCCCCCACACUGGUACUGAGACACGGACCAGACUCCUACGGAAGGCAGCAG
rnacentral:rRNA from 1 species